AGAGUUUGAUCCUGGCUCAGAUUGAACGCUGGCGGCGUGCUUAACACAUGCAAGUCGAACGGAAUUAGGGGCUUGCUCCUAAUUUAGUGGCGCACGGGUGAGUAGCGCGUGGAUAACCUACCCUGGUGUCUGGGAUAACAUCUCGAAAGGGGUGCUAAUACCGGAUAAGCCCACGGUCUCUUUGGAGAUUGCGGGAAAAGAUGGCCUCUGCAUAUGCUAUUGUAUCAGGAUGGGUCCGCGUACCAUUAGCUAGUUGGUGGUGUAAUGGACCACCAAGGCAACGAUGGUUAGCUGGUCUGAGAGGAUGAUCAGCCACACUGGAACUGAGACACGGUCCAGACUCCUACGGGAGGCAGCAGUGGGGAAUUUUGGCGCAUGGGGGAAACCCUGACGCAGCAACGCCGCGUUGAGUUGAUGAAGGCCUCGGGUCGUAAGCUCUGUCAGAGGGGAAGAAGUGAUAGUGUGCUAAUACCACAUUAUCUGACGGGUACCCUCAAAGGAAGCACCGGCUAACUCCGUGCCAGCAGCCGCGGUAAUACGGAGGGUGCAAGCGUUGUUCGGAUUUAUUGGGCGUAAAGCGCGUGUAGGCGGUCUUUUAAGUCUGAUGUGAAAGCCCCGGGCUCAACCCGGGAAGUGCAUUGGAAACUGGGAGACUUGAAUACGGGAGAGGGUAGUGGAAUUCCUAGUGUAGGAGUGAAAUCCGUAGAUAUUAGGAGGAACACCGGUGGCGAAGGCGGCUACCUGGACCGAUAUUGACGCUGAGACGCGAAAGCGUGGGGAGCAAACAGGAUUAGAUACCCUGGUAGUC
rnacentral:rRNA from 1 species